rnacentral:lncRNA from 1 species
CGAUAAGGCAGUCCGAAAGCAAAAGAAGGUAGAGAGCAAUUUCGUAGUAAGAGAUCAGAAUGGCAUACCGAUGGCGUCAGAGGAAGCUCAUGUUUGACAAUGAUGGUACCUCAGACUCAUUCAACAACAUUGGCGGCGGAAACCAGAAUUUCUCCAAUGCAAAAAUCAACAGUGGAGCUAAUUCAGGCGAUCGAAACAGGUAUGAUAACUCAAACCACUACGGUGAACGUGUUACUCAUAACAGUGGCACUUUCAAUGGUAAUGGCAACGGAGGCUACAUCGAUGGUGGCUUUAACUCCUCCACAAAUAACUACUACUAAUAUUUUUCUGCAAUUACUAUUUGCUGCGCAAUAUGGUCUACUGUUAUGCUGUAAUAUUACCAAUAAAUGUAAAGGUUUCUUAGUGAUGCCUAAGCCUUACUAUAUUGUAAUGGUGCUGGAUAAUAAUGAUAAUAAUAAUAAUAAAGACCUAUGACGUUGCAGUAAAUUUCUCCAUGUUGUUUUGUUUCUCUCUUUGAGCCCAACUUGUAGUUUCAUCUUUCUCUUGUGUAUUACAAUAUAUAUAACCAAACAAAGAGCAGACCCUCCAAGGCUAUAAUCUGAAGAUGAAAGCUGAGAAAUCUUCCCCGAUUCCUGCAAAACUUUAUCAAGGGUUCUUGUUCUCACUCUUAACAACUCAACUUUUAUAUUCGCCCUCAGGUUAACAUUUAAUUACAAAAGAUAAAUCAUUGAAUUAAUUUUUUUUUUUUUCAAUUUAAUCAAAGAUUGUUACAUUCUGGAGAAGUGUAUUAAACACAAGUAUGAAAAGUAUAAAUAUCGAUUUCUCAACAUUUGUGUGAUAUUAAUCAAGUAUACAACUUUUUACUAUUUAAACUAGUCGAAUUAUAAAAUUAAUAUAUAAAGUUGAAUUAUAAUAAAAUAAAAUGAAUAGGUAAUACUAUCAAGUUGAGAGUUUGUCCAAAAGUAAAUUUAUUGGAGUUAGACUUAACAUAUCUCUUAUGAUACCCAAUUAAUAUAUACUUUGGCUUUUAAUAUUAUUAUCGAAAUCAAUUUUGUCUAAAAUCCUAGUCUUUGAAAGUACAGAAGAAAUAAGUCUCAAUUUCUUUUAUAACUCAACAAAACAAUUCAUUUUAACUUCAAUUAUUAAAAGAUAACUAAUAGAAUUAUGAAUAUAUAUAUAUAUAUAUAUAUAUAUAUAUAUAUAUAUAUAUAUAUAUAUAUGGGGUUUGUUAACGCGCGUAUGCCUGUAUUUCAGUUGGUACAUUUUAACAAUGUGUACCGGAUUAUAUUAGACAAAAAUACCUUCAUAUAUUAUGGAUUCAAAGUUUUAAAGUCAAGGAUAUUUAAAUAAUUUUCAUUCUCAAAACUAAAAAAAAGGAAAGAAACCCCCAAACCCUUACUCACCUCUCUCAUUCUUCUCAAUCCUUUCUCUUUCAUCUCUCUCACUCCAACAUUUUCUCUAUCAUCCUAUGGUAAAUCCAACUGAAAAAAAAAAAUUAGAAAUACUCGUAGUUAAACAAUUUACCUUUGUAAAGAGUAACCUUUCUCUAUCAUCAUCUUCACUAACCUCUCUAAUUUCAUCAUCUACAAAUUUUGAACCGUCAUCUCUUAAAAAACCUUCAGGCCAAUUAUCAAUUUCUUUUGAUGUCAUUAUGCUUGUGAAAAUUAGAUAAAAUUAGAUAAGACAAAAAUUAAAAAAUGAAAACUCAUUAUAAAAUCUUUUUUUUGUAAGAAAUUGUUAAAUAGCGUGUGUUUCUGAUUUUUUUCCAGACGAAUUACCAAUUCCUUCAUAUGUCAUUAUAAUUGUGAAAAUUAGAUAAAAUUAGAUAAGACAAAAAUUAUAAAAUGAAAACUCAUUAUAAAAUCAUUUUUUUGUAAGAAAUUGCUUAAAAGCGAGUGUUUCAGAUAUUUUUUUAUUGGGGCUACAGUAGAGAUGACAGACAAAAGGUUGGAGUGACAGAGAUCAAAGAGAAAAAAUUGAGAGGAAUGAGAGUGGUGAGUAAAGGUUUGGUUUUUUUUAGUUUUGAGAAUGAAAAUUAUCUAAAUAUCCUUGAUUUUAAAACUUAGAAUCCAUAAUAUAUGAGGAUAUUUUUGUCUACUAUAAUCUGGCACACAUUCUUAAAAUGUACCAACUAAAAAACAAACGUACACGCGUUAACAAACUCAUAUAUAUAUAUAUAUAUAUAUAUAUAUAUAUAUAUAUAUAUAUAUAUAUAUAUAUAUAUAUAUAUAUAUAUAUAUNUAUAUAUAUAUAUAUAUAUAUAUAUAUAUAUAUAUAUAUAUAUAUAUGUAUGUAUGUUUUACCUCAAGUUAAAACAACAACCAAAAAUUCCAAUCACAAACAAAAAUCCUUAAAAAACUGAGUGAUGUCGACAAUAAACACCAAGUACACAUAAAUAAAAUCCUAAUGUUAAAUAUUUCCAAAUUUGACCUAUGCAUUUGCCUUUUAACGAAGUUUUAUCGAAUUAAUUAUUAUUUUUUAAUUUAAAGCUGUAUAUUUAUAGGAAGAAAAUUUAUUUCCCACUAAACUCAAUCUAUACACCCUCCAGUACUAUUAAAACUCCUUUCUUGAGGAGAUUAUAAAAACUCGUUAUUCCACAUUACAUGUUACUUUGUUUUAUCGUUUCUUAACUCAUAGCAUGGCAUGAAAUACAAAAUAGUAAAAGAAAAUACAAAAUAUAAAAAAAUAUCAUAUUAAAAAACAUAUAAGAUUUUCAAAAAACGAAUAUCAACAUUUUUUCAAAUAGUUUUUCAUACAAGGAGUAUGUGAUAUCUGAUUUUAAAUUAUUAAUUGAAAUACAUAGGAGCGAAACAAGAUGGUUUUACCCAAACAAAAAAAAAAAAUCAAACAGUUUAUUAGAACUAGGAAAUUUUUCAAUUUUUCAUUUUGAAAGAAAAUACAUAAAAAUAAAGUCAAUCUUUAUCGAAUUUAAACAAAAUUAAAAAUAUUUUCUUUGAUCCUUUGGUAUAUUUUUUAAUUAUAGAAAAAAAAAACAUUUGAUAAAUUAUAUUAUUUUGCAUAAGGGUGCUAAUGUCUUCUUUACACAUAACUAACUCUUGAACCUAAAAUAUGGUUUCAUAAAUCAUAUUCUUAUCUUAAUGGUUAUUUUGAAUAAAUUAUAAUGACAACUCUAAACCUUAUAUUUAACAUGCAUUAUUUUUGUUUUUUGUCUUAUCUCAAAUUUGGUUGCUACAAAAGUUAUAUACAAUGCUUUUUUGGCUGAUAUUACAUGUAUGUGUCUCUUUGGUUUGGUUCGUUUUUCCUUUUUGUAUCAUAAAGACUACAUAUAUUUAUCUGUACCUUUAUUUUUAAUUUUGCUUUUUUAGUUUACAUGUCAAAGGCGCUAGAAAGACAAAUCCACUACGAUUAAAAAAAGCUUUCUACUACGGCUCAUGAAUCGUUGUUGGAAGUUCUAAAUAAUGAUGUUGUUAACACCGUCAUAAAAGAUUUAAAGAGUGUAAGAAAAAGAAAAUUACACAAAAUAUUUAUAAAAUUGUUAAUACCUAUCUCAAUUUAAUUUAUUUAAAGACUCUACUUGUUAAAUUGCUAGUUUCUUUAAAGAAGAAUUAUUCAAUGUAUUUAAAAGAGUAUAGACAAUCUAUAAAAUCUAUUUAGAUAAAUUAAAUUAUAACAUAAAAAGUAAGUUAAUAAAUUAUAAAUAACUUGACCGAAAUACACGUUACAUUUUGAAUUGUGAGAAUUGAUUUACCACUCAGUAUACUAUAUCAAUUAAAAAUACUAAAAUAAAAAUAUUUAAUGUUAGAAAACAUUUAAUUUAAAAAUACUAAAAUAAAAAUAUUCAAUGUUAGGUCAUCUGUUAAGGUCAUUUUGAUCAAAUUUUGACGGAUUUACUUUUAGUUUUAUUUUAAAAAAAAAUUUAUUAAUAAAAAUAUAUUCUGUAUAUAUAAAGUCAUAUUUAUCUCUUGUUUUAUUGGUGGGACUUUAAUUGUAAGUAACAAUAAAGAGAUAUCAUAUUUCCAAACGUUGAAGGUGCAUGAAAGAAUAACGAAUUUUUAAAAGCGAAAAUAAUUACACAUGGAUGUUGUGUCGGUUGAAUGGCGUUAAGUAGUUUACGUAUCUGCCGUGACGGAGGCAAACACAACAAGAGUAAGGACAAAGAACAAUGUGUUGAUUCUAUUCCUUGGUAUGGCACUAGAUAAUGAACAUAUUCCAACACUUUCGGUUUAAUGAUUUUUUAUUAUUUAAGUCGUUCCCAUAAAUUAAGAAAUAACUAUGAAAUAAACCGAAUUCCAUGAAUUGAUCUCUAUAAAAUGAAUAUGAACAGCUUCAUUCUUUUCGAAAUAUGUAUCUAUAUAAUAUAUAUAAAUUAAACUAAUUAAUUGUAAUAAAAAAGUAAUUAUCUUUGUGAAUGAAUGACACAACGUUUCUAACUUGUUUUGAUUUCAUUCUUUAAUUAGACAAUUUUAUUCUUUAACAAAUACAAAAAUAAUGUAUUUACUGAUUUAAUAAAAUUCAUAAUUGAAUAACUUCUUUUUAUUUUAAAGUAAGAAAAUCACUCACAUUUUACAUAAAUUUGUAAAUAUUAUUUUUACAAACUAUAUAUCUAUGUAUUUUAAAUUAUAUCAUCUUUCUCUUUUUAAUUAAUUACUUAUAAAAAUAUAAAAAUAAAAAAAAACAUAUAUAUUUUAAUGUAAUAAAAAUGUAAAUACAAAUAUACAUGAUAAUAUCACACAGCACCUGUGUUCAUUUAAAGAUAAAGUUUAAAUAAUUGAAAAAUAAAAAAUUUAUAAGUCAAAGUUAGAUAUUAAUUUUUUUAUUUCAUUUCAAAUUUUAUUUCUUUAUAACCACAUUCAAGGAACUCUUCUUAAGUUUAUAGAAGAAUUUUAUUAUUGUUGUAGUGUUAGAUUUUAGUAUCGAUGAGUAAGAUAAGAAAAAUAAUAAAUUUGUCAGUUUUUGUUGUUAUUGAAUUAGGUCAAAUAGUCUUCUAGGUGUACAGACCUAAUUGUUUAGGUGUGAUGGAAUUUUAAAUCAGUAUAAGUUUACUUCCAAACAUUCUUGGAUACUUAAAUCAGUAAGACAUUUUCAAUGACUAGUUACGAGGACAAGCAAUUAUGAGAUGAAUGUAUUUCCUGAUAGUAUAUAUUUAUAAUCUUUUUAAGAUUAAGAAUCAAAUUAAUCAAUGAGUUUGGUUAUUGGAAUGACUUUUGUUUUUAUCAUAUAACAGUAAUACCAUAUAUUUAUUGAAUAUUAUUGUACCCUACAUAACCGGUCGGACCUUACUCGGCCACGAGAAGGCCCGGCCCGGCAGACGGCCACGGCCCACGAAUCCACGUUCUGACAGAAGAGGCAAAUAAACGAUCAUAGGGAGAAUCAGAACGGGCGGUAUGCCUCAUCCUGGGAAAACACCAUGGUGCAGUCCCGUCUCGGCGGUCAGGGUAACCUCUGAAAGAAAAACCUUGAAAAAUUCUCAUCAAGCCCCGCCAACGUAUGUUCUCUAAAUAACCUGACGAAACGACUGGAUAUAACCAAGGCACCCAAAACGACGUACGGUUUGGCGGCGUCGUGUCCGCACGACUGAUAGUCAUGGUCGAGCACAAAUCAGCCCAUAAGAGUGUCCGCAUGACUGAUAGUCAUGGUCGGGCACAAAUCGGCCCAUAAGAAAAACUUUGAAGAAUUCACAUGGAGUUCAUCACCACAAAGGUAGUCCGACACCCUCCAUACUCACCAUACCAUUAAGACGACCAGCGUCAAAUCUUUUCUUGUUACACCAUAAGGACGGCCGUCGAAGGUUCGGCCGUCGACGCUCACAGACCAAAGUGUCAUAAGCAACUCGAGAUUAAGAUAAGACUAGAUUAGCGUCAACAGGCCUGCAAUUGGACCCUGAUUAAGUUCCCACUAAUCAUUGGCCCAUGGGAAAAACUAUAAAUAAGAGUCAAAGGUAAGAAGUAGGCAGACACAUUUAAUGCACAUUUAUUUCACUCUCUCUCUCUAUCACUAUCAUUAAUAUAUAAAAUUGAACAUUGACUUGAGCGUCGGAGUGUCUUUAGCAGGUACUCGGCCGGACACCACAGGAAGAGACGACACAAAAGGCGAGUGACGAACAUCCGGAGAAUUUAGACGGACGGUCGGUAAAGGGGAACGACGCGGAUUAAUCUAGACCGGUACAGCAGAAACAAUUAUCUUUCUCUUAUUUUAGAAAGAUUAAUAUAUCGUAUAAAUCUCAAAUUUAUAUACUUUGAUUAUUGAGAUAUUUUUAGUUUGUCAAAUAAUAAUAACAUAUUAUAAAUAUAGAUCGAGUAGGUGUAAUUUUGAAAUUUAUGUAACUUGUUCAAUUACUAAGAAUGGUUCCUUUUCUUAUUUAGAUAGUUUGUUAAAGGAUGUUUUUGGAAUAGAGAUCAAUAGUUGGAAAGCUUAAACAUAACUUUAAAUUCUGUUCUCAUACGUGUUUCCAUGGAAUAACUUUAAGACUAUGGUGUUCCAUAAAAAAUUUAAUAUACACUCUACAAUAAUAAAUACACAACAAGUAAAUUAUUUGAAGAUUAAUUUAAAAAAAAAAAAAAGUUAGCAUUCAGAAAAGAAUAAAACUUUGAAUUAUAUACUUCAUAUCUUCCAUACGUUCGAUAUCAUGGAAUAACUUUAAGACUGUGAUGUCCCAUCAAAAAUGGACAUAUGCUCAAAACUGUUAUCCAACCUUAUGUGUACAAGUUGUUGAUCAAAUGAUAGAAAAUUAUUUGUAUAGAUAUAUGCGUGGCAUAGUAAAAGAAUUGGAUUCGCUUUCUUGCGUCUAUAUAUUGUUGGCUUAGAGUUGCUGUUAACGAUAAGGCAGUCCGAAAACAAAACAAGGUAGAGAGCAAUUUGGUGUAAGAGGUCAGAAUGGCAUACCGAUGGCGUCAGAGGAAGCUCCCGUUUGAGAAUAAUGGCACUUCAGACUCAUUCAACAACGUUGGCAGUGGAUACCAGAAUUUCUCCAAUGCAAAAAUCAACAGUGGAGCUAAUUCAGGCGAUCGAAACAGGUAUGACAACUCAAACCACUACGGUGAACGUGUCAUUCAUAACAGUGGCACUUUCAAUGGUAAUGGAAACGGAGGCUACAUCGAGGGUGGCUUUAACUCCUCCACAAAUAACUAUUACUGAUAUUUUUCUACAUUUACUAUUUGCUGCGCAAUAUGGUCUACUGUUAUGCUUUAAUAUUACCAAUAAAUGUAAGGGUUUCCCAGUGAUACCUAAGCCAUACUAUGUUGUAAUUGUUGUGGUUAAUCAUAAAGACCUCUAAUGUUGCAGUAAAUUUCUUCAUUUACUUUUAGUUAUUUCUAUUUUUUCAUUUACUUUUAGUUAUUUCUUUGUCUUGUUUAAGUCCAACUUGUCC